CACGUAGGGUGCGAGCGUUAUCCGGAAUUAUUGGGCGUAAAGAGCUCGUAGGCGGUUUGUCGCGUCUGCCGUGAAAGUCCGGGGCUCAACUCCGGAUCUGCGGUGGGUACGGGCAGACUAGAGUGAUGUAGGGGAGACUGGAAUUCCUGGUGUAGCGGUGAAAUGCGCAGAUAUCAGGAGGAACACCGAUGGCGAAGGCAGGUCUCUGGGCAUUAACUGACGCUGAGGAGCGAAAGCAUGGGGAGCGAACAGG
rnacentral:rRNA from 1 species